GUCAGUGUUCUGUGAGAGAUAAAAGGCCACCUGAGUUCUCCCAAGCUUCAGACUAGCAGAAAUGGGCAAGAUUCUGACAGCAUCGUUUUUGCUCCUAGGCCUUCACCUAGCUGGGGUGAGUGGCCAGCAGAAGGGGCGACGUGACCAGCAGCAGGUGAGACAAAGUCCCCAAGCUCUGACAGUGUGGGAAGGAAAGACCACAGUUAUGGACUGCAAUUAUGAGAACAGUUUAUUUGACUACUUCCUAUGGUACCGGCAGUUCCCUGGUGAAAGCCUUGCACUCCUGAUAGCCAUACGAUCAGUGUCCAACAAAAAGGAAGAUGGACGAUUCACAGUCUUCUUCAAUAAAAGUGAGAAACAGCUCUCCUUACACAUCUCAGACUCUCAGCCUGAAGACUCUGCCACCUACUUCUGCGCAGCAAGUACACAGUGCUCUCCAGGCACCUGCAGCCUAUACCCAAACCUGCAGCUGAGGCUCCAGCAAAGCCCUGCUGUAGACUGAGCCUGGCAGAGAUGCAAAGGAAGUUUCAUUUGUAGGAACAGUGGAUGUAAAGAUUAGACUCAUUCAGGCUGGAGACAGCCCAAGCUCAAGUCACAGCUUGCUUUUCUUCAUUGUCCCCUUGUUCCUCAGAAACAGCUGAAGUUUUGCAUGUAUUUAACUAGUUUAGAUGAAUUGCUCUUCUGAAUGGUUGUACAACUAGUUCUCUGUGUGGUUGGUUUGUGCCAGCUAUAAAUUAUAAAGGCUCCACCUGUCUACUCUAUUGUCAUGACGCUAACGUGUGGAUGUUACAACCCAGGGUCAGGAGAUCUUGACUUUGACUUCUGGGACAGAAAUCACAUAGGGUUUUCUUUUACCUUAAUUUCCUCUGUUGACCAGGGAAGUGGUGAUUUAAAUGACCAUUGACCUCUUCUACUUCCUCAUGUUUUACCUCUCAUAUCCACAUCUACCUCCAAGAAAUUCAAGUUUGUAAACCAGGAGGACUUAUCAAUAAUGUAGGUGUCUACAAUACAAAUGAAGUCAGUGGGAAAAGAAGAAUCCAAUUUACUCAAAUAGUAAAUUGCAUAACCUUCACUAAAGAAGUGACUUCAUAUCUGUAUAUUACAGAUGAACAAAAUAUAAUUUUGAAUAUAAUUUUUUUCUAAUAGAAUCAGCUGCAGUCUUUAUGGCUAUUCACCCAAUGGCAAAAGGUCCUCUUGUUUUCCUCUUCCUGAGUGGGCUUUAAGUCCAACCAGAGAUGUGUUGGUUAUCAUCAAGGUAUGAGUGGCACUAUCAUACCUUUGUAAGUACCAUGCAGGGCUGUUCAUUGUUGUGGUUCAUAAACAUUACAUAAAGAUAAACUAUUGAUUACUCUUCCCCUUUGGCAACUUGCAUAGUGCCUUCUGAUAUCAUUAAAGUUAGUGGUCAGUGAUGAGGCUUUCAGGUCAGAUACAGUUUAAAUAUUCCAUGUCCUGUGUCUACUGUGCAUGAUAUCUCAGCAGGGACUUAACUUUAGUCUCUGGGAUCAAAGGCCAACAGCAAUAGCCAGCACUUUUCCAAGAUCCAUUUGAUUCCCAUGAUCAACAUAUCAAAAGAGGUUUCUUAUGCCUGGUACUUGGUUUCUUGUUGGAUGAGGUAGGUAUGGCUAGGCCACAUGGAAUAACUUCAUUAAAAAUAUAUGUGUAAUGUAAUUCUAGGUAAACACAACAAUAAUAAAUAUCUAUAAGUGUUUUUCAAAUGUCCUCAGUGGUAUUUAUCUGCCAGGAGCCAUCUAGGAAAUGGUAAAACAUACGAAUGACUUUCUGGAGAUAGCAUAGCAUAUUACAUGGCUGUGAUGGAUAAUUCUGAAUUUCAAAGCUUUCAGAAAUCUCACCUCAGGAUCGAUUCUUAUGAUAUGCCUUUUCUGUCAUUAUUAGAUCAGUAUAACAAAUCCUGAGCAUUAGCCCACCUUAUUGG